AACUAGUAGGUCCCCUUGCUCUCCAACUUACCAGGGUGGUCUUUUUUUGUGGUGAAGUUUUAUUUUAGAGAGAUAUUAAAGUUAAAUUGACCAAUGAGCAUCAGAAGAUGGUUUGAUUGACAGUUGGGAUUCUUUUCAGUCAGGCGCACGCUGAGAGGGCCGUCGUCAUGACUACUACUUGGCUGUGCGUGCCUAGGCUGGGACUGGGAAAUCUUGUCUAUCUGUGUGUUGCUCCUGAUAUUAUACUUUCAUAAACUUUGAACAUCAACUCGAUCGAUUGAUCUACUGUUGCCAUUGUUUGGCCAUCUCCUUGUGAAGUCGGGUGUACUUAUCGGUACUCUGAGCUGGAGCGCUGAUGUUUAGAUGCGAUGUCCCAACAAGAAUCACAGCACAUUUCUCCUUGGGAACUCAAGAGCCUAGGAGUACACCUCAGCAGGCACACCAGAGAAGGACCACUCCUGGAUAAGGAUUUGAGCCACUGCCACGACUGCCAUCUCUACACUAUAUUACACACGCCAGCAGAUGUGGGAGGUGGUGAUCAACGUGACCCGUCAGCAGGUGGAGGACUUCCACGGCCCCGCGGACUACUGAUUACUGUGUGUGGCCUAGAG